GAUGAACGCUGACAGAAUGCUUAACACAUGCAAGUCGAUGGGGAAGUGGUGCUUGCACCAUGGUAACCAUGGCGGACGGGUGAGUAACGCGUAAGGAACUUGCCUGCGGGACUGGGAUAACAGCAGGAAACUGCUGAUAAUACCGGAUAAGGUCAUUAAGCUGCAUAGCUUAGUGAUGAAAGGAGACGCCUGCGGAGAGCCUUGCGUCCUAUUAGCUAGUUGGAGGGGUAACGGCCCACCAAGGCGAAGAUAGGUAGCCGGCCUGAGAGGGUGGACGGCCACAAGGGGACUGAGAUACGGCCCUUACUCCUAUGGGAGGCAGCAGUGGGGAAUAUUGGACAAUGGGGGCAACCCUGAUCCAGCAAUUCUGUGUGCACGAAGACGGUUUUCGGAUUGUAAAGUGCUUUCAGCAGGGAAGAAGGAAGUGACGGUACCUGCAGAAGAAGCGACGGCUAAAUACGUG
rnacentral:rRNA from 1 species